rnacentral:rRNA from 1 species
GGGUUGUGAGGUUAAGCGACUAAGCGUACACGGUGGAUGCCCUGGCAGUCAGAGGCGAUGAAGGACGUGCUAAUCUGCGAUAAGCGCCGGUAAGGUGAUAUGAACCGUUAUAACCGGCGAUUUCCGAAUGGGGAAACCCAGUGUGAUUCGUCACACUAUCAUUAACUGAAUCCAUAGGUUAAUGAGGCGAACCGGGGGAACUGAAACAUCUAAGUACCCCGAGGAAAAGAAAUCAACCGAGAUUCCCCCAGUAGCGGCGAGCGA